ACUCCUAGGUGCAUACCUGCCUUCUGGGCACAUGAGGGAUAGGAUUGUACCAGCCAGCUAGGUUUGGCCUUGCUGCCUCGUUGCGACCUUCACUGGUAGCUACUCCCUGUGUGCCUAUUUGAAGUAGCAGAGCGGCGGAAAAGCUGAGAUCAGACUGCUUGAUUUCACGGGAUGUGUAGUUGUGUGUUCCUGCCCAUGACGGACGAAUGCUGAUGCUGUGAGGGGGUUGCCGGCUUGCUGCUGCCAUUGGGUUGGGCCCUGUGAUUGGUCUAAUAGUUCAUUGCUAGGGACAUCCAUGACGGACAAAUGCUGAUGCUGUGAGGGGGUUGCCGGCUUGCUGCUGCCAUUGGGUUGGGCCCUGUGAUUGGUCUAAUAGUUCAUUGCUAGGGACAUCCAUGACGGACGAAUGCUGAUGCUGUGAGGGGGUUGCCGGCUUGCUGCUGCCAUUGGGUUGGGCCCUGUGAUUGGUCUAAUAGUUCAUUGCUAGGGACAUAUGCACCUAUUAGCUGGGAAUCCAAACAUAUACAUGCUAAUAUUUACCUGGAAAUUGUCUAAUCUUUUUUCUCUCCUUUUCUGUUUCAUAAGAUGUUGUAAGACCCCGGGUCCUCUUUUGUUCUAAUAAAUUCUAGUAGGGGGCAACCCCUCCUGUUCUCCUAAAGAAAAAGUUAGUUGGCUAAUUUUUCGCUCUGGCUAAUAACUUGUCAGACGAUCCAAACAAAAGCUCAACCUAUAUUCCAUUAAUGACAUUAUGGUCAGAGGUUGAUGUUCAGUGUUAUAAUUCUUUAGAUUCCAAAUUCUCAGCAUUUAGAUAAGACUAGGAAGGAAGGGACACUCGCCCCGCCAGUUACAACAGCUACAACAUAUAGGUUUUCUACUAGAAAUUACUAAGCAAAGACAUAUCACCUAGUAAUUGUAAGACAUAAUCUGCUGAUCCAAUUGCAAUUGUUUUGCUUUCCUGGUACAGUCAAGAACUGUAGAUGAUCAGCAAUCAGCUGAUCGGUUCUGGUACUUUUAGAGUAUGGCAAUAGGCCACUACUGUAGCCAUUAGUUGGUAGAAGGUACAUCAGCAAUAGUGUUGUACUAGGAGUAGGUAGGACUAUACCAGCCAUGAUCUAUGUACCUGUAUAGAGGUACUAGAUAUGUGUAUAAAUAUGUAUGCAAUACAUCAAGCAAAGGCAGCUCAUUUUGCCACCAACAUUCAGAGUUCAAAGUUUCAGCCUGUUAACAAUAGGCGCCCUAAUGGGCUGUAAUGGGCCGGUGCGGUUAAGCACCUUAGGGAUUAAGAUAGAUUGAUAAGGCAAGGAUCACCAUUGGUUGGGUGUUUCUAUAAACCCUUAGGGAUCCUUGCCUAUAUAAUGUACCCCUGUACCUCUUAAUCAAUAAUCCCGAGGCUAAUUGCUCUCAUGGUAUCACACCUAGGUUAGGUCAGCUUCCGCUACAUCAUGCGCGCUGGCCUCUAGCCGCGCCGGCCUCUCACCGCGCAGCGCUUCUUCCCCAUCCCGCGCGCCCGCCCUACUGUGUCGCGCCCGCCUGCCAUGUCGCCCACCACUCCUAACGACGGGCAGGACAACCACGACUCCUCUAUUUCCGUUCAAGAUGACGAGGUCGCCCAACGGAUCGCCAAGGAGCAGGCCAACACUGCCGCCGCCGCCGCACAGAAAGUGGAGCGCGACCGCGCAGCUGCUUGCGACGACGCCCUGGCCCGUGCACUCGAGGCCGAGCAGGAGGCCGAGGCCGCGGCCCAGGAGCGCGACGACGCGGCCAAGCGCACCUCGAACGCCCUCGCACGCGCAGCCCUGAAGUGGGCGGCCGCCGCCGCCGCCGUGGCUCCUUCGUCGUCAGAGGCUCUGCCAGGUGGUGCCUCUGCAUCGUUCGACGGCCCACCACCUGAUCUCCGCGCCGCCAUGCUUCAUCAUGAAGCUGUGGCUCUGCUACAACUCCACUCCCAGGCUGUCGCCGUCAGCAACAUCCGGAACCACGUCACCACUGUCCUCGACGUUUGUAAGUGCAUUCGCCCCCGAUGUGGGUUUUGAUAAUUAAAGACAAUCAAAUUGGGAACUAACAUGUUUAUCAAGUAUAAUCUACAGGUGUUAGUUUAUUGAUGGAAUUAAACGAAAACAUUUGGUGAAUCACAGCACCCCCAAAUUUUCAAUGAAUGAGCGACGUUUCGACUCCAGUGGCUACAUAGUUUUAUUCUUUGUUUGAGUUAUAGGAAACGCCGCACUAUCAAGAGGGAUGCAAAUUAAGUUGGUAAGAUGAGGAUAAGGGUGCUUGAGGUGCCCUCCGAGGAUGCUGAGGACCCCCCGACGCCCGCGCUCUACAUCCCUCCUGUGCUGUGGGUGUCAGGGCCACCCUCUUCCGCGCCACGCGCAGCCCUGGAGCUCACCACGUCUACGAGCAUCGACCACGUGAGCCGCUGGUGGCCGCCCCGGCUGCUCCUGCUGCACCGAUCGCCCCCGCCCUUGCUGCUGCUCCAGCAGCCCCGCUGCCAAAGGGUGCGGUUGCAGUCCCUCCGGUGACCAUCCAGCACUCCAUGGGCACUCGGUCGAAGAGCGGCUACAGGAUGCCCUCUAUCUACCACGUCGUGCCUCUCUCUCCGGUGCCGAAGACCUUCCGUAGCGCUCUUGCUGAUCCCCAUUGGCGACCAGCUAUGGAGGAAGAACACAAUGCUCUUCUUCAGAAUCACACCUGGGACCUUGUGCAUCGCCCGCCUCGGGCCAAUGUUGUCACUAGGAAGUGGAUCUUCAAGUACAAGCUUCAGUCUGAUGGCUCCCUCGAGCGGUACAAGGCACGUUGGGUUCUUCGUGGUUUUACCUAGCGGCCUGGUGUGGACUUUGAUGAGACUUUCAGUCCUGUGGUGAAGCCCGCUACUGUUCACACGGUGCUCACCUUAGCGCUCACACGCCACUGGCCCAUUCUUCAUGGCAACUUGACUGAGACAGUUUACUGCCAGCAACCGUCCGGGUUCAAAGAUUCAGCUCAUCUGGAUUUUGUAUGCCUUUUGAAGAAGUCCCCCUAUGGCCUGAGGCAGGCCCCUUGUGCUUGGUACAGCCGGAUGGCCUCCUACUUGCUGUCUAUUGGGUUUGUUGAAGCCAAGUCAGACACCUCACUCUUCAUCUACCAGCGCGAAUCCGACACAGCCUACCUGUUGCUCUAUGUCGAUGAUAUUGUCCUCACAGCCUCGUCCUCAGAUUUCUUCGGCGGAUUAUCUCAGCACUCCAGCGGGAGUUCGCCAUGAAAGAUCUUGGUGAACUUCAUCACUUCCUUGAUAUGCAUGUUCAGCGACGUGAUGAUGGACUCCUCCUUUCAUAGCGACAGUACAUGCUGGAUAUCUUAGAUCAUGCCAGAAUGACUGAGUGCAAGCCGUGCUCUACACCAGUUGACACUAACUCCAAGGUUGUUGCAGCUGAAGGGGCCCCUGUGUCUGAUGCUACAGACUUCCGUAGUCUUGCUGGAGCUCUUCAGUACUUGACAUUCACUCGCCCAGACAUUGCAUAUGUUGUUCAGCAGGUCUACCUCCACAUGCAUGACCCUUGAGAGCCUCACCUUGCUGCUCUGAAGUGGAUUCUUCGCUAUGUUCGGGGCACACUUCACCUCGGUCUCCUGCUGCGACCGUCUACUUCGACUGAUCUUGUUGUCUAUAACAACGCUGAUUAGAAUCAGCUGGUGUCCCGACACUCGCCGAUCCACCUCAGGUUAUGCAGUGUUCCUCGGUGACAAUCUUGUUUCCUGGUCCUCCAAGCGUCAAAAUACAGUUUCAAGAUCAAGUGCUGAAGCCGAGUAUCGCGCAGUGGCUAAUGGAGUUGCAGAGGCGACCUGGCUGCGUCAGGUUCUCUUGGAGCUACAUGCCCCUCUUCGGCGCGCCACACUGAUGUACUGUGACAACAUCAGUGCUGUCUACAUGACCUCCAAUCCGGUGCAACAUCAGCGCACCAAGCACAUCAAGAUUGAUCUUCACUUCGUUCGAGAGAGUGUCCUACCAGCAUGUUCCCACCACCAUGUAGUAUGAUGAUAUCUUCACCAAGGGACUGCCUACCUCAGUGUUCACGGAGUUUAGGUCCAGUCUAAACAUGCAAAGUGGCUGACGUUUCGACUGUGGGGGAGUGUUAGCAAUAGGCGCCCUAAUGGGCUGUAAUGGGCCGGUGCGGUUAAGCACCUUAGGGAUUAAGAUAGAUUGAUAAGGCAAGGAUCAACGUUGAUUGGGUGUUUCUAUAAACCCUUAGGGAUCCUUGCCUAUAUAAUGUACCCCUGUACCUCUUAAUCAAUCAUGUAAUCCCGAGGCUAAUUGCUCUCACAGCCCACGCUGAAACUUCUGCAGUGAGUGUUCAAAAGUUCAGAGUUUCCCAACUUUUGAACCAAUGUAGCAUUAGUGUUGGUCCCUGCACAACCACAACAGGUAAGCAACUUGCUUACCACCUCUACUUCACUCCUUGGACCAAGGUAGAAGAAGAGAAGAACCCAGCACACAACCAGUUCAGCCUCUGCUUGAUUUCACAGGAUGUGUAGUAAUGCUAUGGGCUAAAUUGCUCCAACCUAUUUGAACUCAUAGUCUAAACUAAGAUGGGCCCUACUUGUAAUAGAAAUAUUUAUCCCUCCAACUUUCUCUCUAAAAAAUAACGAUGGCAUAUUUAUAUCACUAGGUGCAGAAACAAGCACCCUUGUCAAGAUGGGGCUUCACAGCACGCCAUGGUCCAGCAUUGAGCACCCUGGGAAUCGUUCUACGGCAAAUGUUGCAGAUGCUAUUAGUUUGUGAUGGCACACCUUGAGACAGUGAUGUAGGAAAUGUUGGAACAUGUACUAUGUAACAUCCCAGAUUUUUUACGUAAACCAAAAAUACGAGCUUUUUAAAAUUUUUCCUAUAGUCGUAUGAAGCAUAUAGUUUUUAGGUCUAACUCGAUCUUAACCCGCUAACAAAACGUCGCAUUCAUUUAGAAUUGUUUGUAGACGAGUGCUCUUGUUCGUGAGUCGUCUUAAGUUGGGUCUUGUUUAUGGUUUUGAGUUUCUUUUGGAGUGCACAAUCUGUAGCAAAGUCUUCCCGAAUCUCCGUUGAGCCUAUCUCAAAGGCGAAGCGAAUCCCUUCUCAACCUUUCUAUUGGAGUACGUCUCAAACUCCUUUGAAUUCCUUCCAAACUCCUUUCUAACCCUAUGUGAUCUUUCUCACCUACUUGGUUCCCUUCCUAAAUCCCCUCUUUGAAUCCAUCUUGUGACAUUCCUUUGUGCUUAAUCCAAAAAUAGAAAAACCUUCCUUCUUCUCUAGCCCAGCCGGCCUGCUUGCUUUGCACCAGCCCAGCAACCCUCCCUCGGCCCAACUCGUCCUCCUCUUGCCUCUAGCCCAACUGGCCGAAAGGCCCUGGCUUCUCCCCUUUCCCCCACCGCGGCCCAACCUGCUCCCCAUCCCCCUCCGCGGCCCAGGUCGCCAGGCCCAGAGCGCGCGAGCUCCCCCAACCCUAGCGAGCAG
rnacentral:lncRNA from 1 species